rnacentral:rRNA from 1 species
GACAGAGGUCCCGAGCGUUAGGCGGAAUCACUGGGCUUAAAGCGUGUGUAGGCGGAUGCCUAAGUACCUUGUGAAAUCCCACGGCUCACCCGUGGAACUGCUCGGUAUACUGGGUGUCUUGAGCCACUUAGGGGCUACCGGAACAAAUGGUGGAGCGGUGAAAUGCGUAGAUAUCAUUUGGAACGCCAAUGGUGAAAACAGGUAGCUGGGAGUGUGCUGACGCUGAGACACGAAAGCCAGGGGAGCAAACGGGG